GAUGAAGAACGCAGCGAAAUGCGAUAAGUAGUGUGAAUUGCAGAAUUCAGUGAAUCAUCGAAUCUUUGAACGCACAUUGCGCCCUAUAGUAUUCUGUAGGGCAUGCAUGUUCGAGCGUCAUUUGUACCUUCAAGCUUUGCUUGGUGUUGGGUGUUUGUCCUCUCCCUGGUGUUUGGACUCGCCUUAAAACAAUUGGCAGCCAGUGUUUUGGUAUUGAAGCGCAGCACAAUUUGCGAUUCUGGCCUUAAAAUACUAGCGUCCAUAAGUACAUUCUCACUUUUGACCUCGGAUCAUGUAGGGAUACCCGCUGAACUUAAGCAUAUAAUAAGCGGAGGA
rnacentral:misc_RNA from 1 species